AUACCAUGAUAAGGAUACUUACGAAGCAAUUCCUUGAAUCUUUCACACACCUCAUAUAAAGACUCGUCAUCCAAUUGUUGGAAAGUAGUUAUCUCAUUACGAAACUU
rnacentral:snoRNA from 1 species